AUUCUUCGCCACGUGUCUCCAAUGCUCUUCACCUCUAUUUCCACUUCCACCCAAGUAAUUUGAAGUGGCAGUGUAAGUAGCUGGUGAAGAAAUUGUUUUGAGACGAAGAGAGUUGGA
rnacentral:precursor_RNA from 14 species